AAGUUGAUCCCUGCCGAUGUCUCCAGUGUCACUCUGCAGACUGAAGCAUCAGCUGCUGAGGCAAGCAACAGUGGUUUGUGUCAUGGAAUUGUCUUCUUCUCCUGGCCCUGGACCCUAUGGAUAUCAAGACCGGCGACAUAAUUUGUGUGGCCCAGUGCAAAUCGAAAAUGUGGGGCUAUUUGUUCAAAAACCAGGAAUAAAGUGCCGUUAAAGUAAUGAAUUGCUGAAGACUUGGAAGGAAUCAUGUGUGUGUCACCAUGCACAGCAUCUGAGUAGCGCCAUCUUCCUGGGGAAGACAUCAGAUUUGAGAAGGCACACACCAUUUUAACUUGGAUGCAGAGAUACACAUCAUGCCCUAACGAAUCCUGAGGAUUGUUUGUUUCUGAUGAUGCCUCUUACCAGCUUUCUGAAUGACUCUUUGAUGAAACACACUGUGAGAAUGGAUCCUCUAAGGCACCAUCGGAACAAAGGAUCACUGAAUUUAGGGGAAAUCAGGAGUGUCCACAGUGAAGCUACAAUGUCUCAUCUGGAAAACUGGAGGUCCUAGCUUACACAUUUUGUAAUAAAGUGAUAGUAUGGUCUUCAA